UACGAAGGGGGCUAGCGUUGCUCGGAAUCACUGGGCGUAAAGGGUGCGUAGGCGGGUUUCUAAGUCAGAGGUGAAAGCCUGGAGCUCAACUCCAGAACUGCCUUUGAUACUGGAAGUCUUGAGUUCGGGAGAGGUGAGUGGAACUGCGAGUGUAGAGGUGAAAUUCGUAGAUAUUCGCAAGAACACCAGUGGCGAAGGCGGCUCACUGGCCCGAUACUGACGCUGAGGUGCGAAAGCGUGGGGAGCAAACAGG
rnacentral:rRNA from 1 species